CCAACCCCUUGGCUACGUCCGCGAAAAAAGUCGAACAGCAUUUUCUUCUUCAAAAACGGCUGUUCAAGUCACUUAUGCAUCGACAGACCUGACGAGCUACCUUCAUUUCUCAAAAUUUCACGGCUGAAAGUUCACUUGCUACUUUCACCAUGACCUGCACGUCUGAUUGCAGAAAUUUAGUCCACCGAAAUGAUGUUAUGAAAACUGAAAAGCAGAUAAGAUAUAGGCACACGGUCUUGACUACACCAAAUGAAUGGUAAUUUAAUAUAAAAUAACAUGUCGCUCAUUUCUGCUCACAAUUCUAAUUCUAUAGUAAUUCAAUUGAUAUCCUUCAAUAUCUGCAAAGUGCAAACACAAGUUUGUAAUCUAUGUUUAUCACAGCAUUCACGCAUACUUCAUUAAUCUUAUGAGUGCUUCGUAUAUUUUCGUACAGAAUUUCUCAUAUGCAGCCUUAGUCAAAUGUAAGUAGUCCAACAUAUCUUUCGCUGAUAUCUUGCCUUCUCCGUCUACAAAGCCUGGAUCAGCAUUAAGAAAUGUCGCAUUUGGAAUAAUACUUAUUGAAGUUUCCAGUAAGCUGUUAAUAUCCAUGAUUUUAGUUCGUAGCGGAUUUCGAUUUUCACCUCGUGGCAACACAGCCUUUAUAGGAGAAUGAAAGAUCAGAAAUAAUCCGUUAAAAGAUGGAACAAGU